GUGGGUGUAGUGUAUGGAACACUGCUGUGUUGAGUUGUGAGGUUAGGACAAUACAGCCAGCAGACCCGGGUUCGAUUCCCGGUGCCCGCA